rnacentral:rRNA from 1 species
GUCUACAGCCAUGCUAUCCUGAACAAGCUCGAUCCUGUCUGAUCUCGGAAGCUAAGCAGGGCCGGGCCGGGUCAGUACUUGGAUGGGUAGACCACCUAGGAAGGCCAGGUAUUGUAGGCA